rnacentral:rRNA from 1 species
AACGAACGCUGGCGGCAUGCCUAACACAUGCAAGUCGAACGAGACCUUCGGGUCUAGUGGCGCACGGGUGCGUAACGCGUGGGAACCUGCCCUUAGGUUCGGAAUAACUCCCCGAAAGGGGUGCUAAUACCGGAUAAUGUCUUCGGACCAAAGAUUUAUCGCCUUUGGAUGGGCCCGCGUUGGAUUAGCUAGUUGGUAGGGUAAAAGCCUACCAAGGCGACGAUCCAUAGCUGGUCUGAGAGGAUGAUCAGCCACACUGGGACUGAGACACGGCCCAGACUCCUCCGGGAGGAGGAGGGGGGAAAUAUUGAACAAGGGGAGAAGGCUGAACCCACAAUGGCCGGGGGAGUAAGAAGGCCUUUGGGGUUGAAACGCUUUUUUCCCCGGUAUGAAAAGGACAGUCCGGGGAGAAAAGGCCCCGGCUAACCCCGUC